rnacentral:rRNA from 1 species
GAUGAACGCUGGCGGCGUGCCUAAUACAUGCAAGUCGAGCGAAUGGAUGAGAGCUUGCUCUCAGAAGUUAGCGGCGGACGGGUGAGUAACACGUGGGUAACCUGCCCUUAAGACUGGGAUAACAUCGAGAAAUCGGUGCUAAUACCGGAUAAUUUAUUUGACCGCAUGGUCGAAUAAUGAAAGGUGGCGUAAGCUACCACUUAUGGAUGGACCCGCGGCGUAUUAGCUAGUUGGUGAGGUAAUGGCUCACCAAGGCAACGAUACGUAGCCGACCUGGGAGGGUGAUCGGCCACACGGGGACUGAAACACGGCCAGGACGCCUACGUGAGGCAGCAGAAGGGAAUGUCCGGCAAGGGAGGAAAGUCUGACGGAGAAGCGCGGCGGGGGGAAUGAAGGCUUUCGGGUCGUAAAACUCUGUUGUUAGGAAAGAACAAGUACCGUUCGAAUAGGGCGGUACCUUGACGGUACCUAACCAGAAAGCCACGGCUAACUACGUGCCACCCGCCGCGGAAA